UACGAAGGGUGCAAACGUUGCUCGGAAUUAUUGGGCGUAAAGCGCACGUAGGCGGCUUAGCAAGUCGGAUGUGAAAUCCCUCGGCUCAACCAAGGAAGUGCAUCCGAAACUGCUGAGCUUGAGUACUUAAGAGGAUCGCGGAAUUCCCGGUGUAGAGGUGAAAUGCGUAGAUAUCUGGAGGAAUACCGGUGGCGAAGGCGGCAUCCUGGACCGGCAUUGACGCUGAGGAGCGAAAGCCAGGGGAGCAAACGGG
rnacentral:rRNA from 1 species